AGGAUAAACGCUGGCAGCGUGCAUGAGACAUGCAAGUCGAACGGAUGAGUCGGGCUUGCUCGACUCGUUAGUGGCGAACGGCUGAGUAACGCGUGGGUGACCUGCCCCGAAGUGGGGAAUAACUGCCCGAAAGGGUGGCUAAUACCGCAUGUGGUCGUACGUUCACUCGUACGAGUAAAGCCGCAAGGCGCUUCGGGAGGGGCCUGCGUCCGAUUAGCUCGUUGGUGGGGUAACGGCUCACCAAGGCGACGAUCGGUAGGUGGUCUGAGAGGACGAUCACCCAGACUGGGACUGAGACACGGCCCAGACUCCUACGGGAGGCAGCAGUCGGGAAUUUUGCUCAAUGGGCGAAAGCCUGAAGCAGCAACGCCGCGUGAGGGAUGAAGGCCUUCGGGUUGUAAACCUCUUUUGUCAGGGAAGAUUAUGACGGUACCUGGCGAAUAAGCCACGGCUAACUACGUGCCAGCAGCCGC
rnacentral:rRNA from 1 species